rnacentral:rRNA from 1 species
CUACGGGGCGCUGCAGACGAGAAAACUUUGCAAUGUGCGAAAGCACGACAAGGUUAAUCCGAGUGGUUUCUGCUAAAGGAACCUUUUGUCGGUCCUAGAAACACCGAUGAAUAAGGGGUGGGCAAGUUCUGGUGUCAGCCGCCGCGGUAAAACCAGCACCUCAAGUGGUUAGGAUGAUUAUUGGGCCUAAAGCAUCCGUAGCCGGCUCGGUAAGUUUUCGGUUAAAUCUGUACGCUCAACGUACAGGCUGCCGGGAAUACUGCAGAGCUAGGGGGUGGGAGAGGUAGACGGUACUCGGUAGGAAGGGGUAAAAUCCUUUGAUCUAUUGAUGGCCACCUGUGGCGAAGGCGGUCUACCAGAACACGUCCGACGGUGAGGGAUGAAAGCUGGGGGAGCAAACCGGAUUAGAUACCCGCGUAGUC